rnacentral:rRNA from 1 species
CCCUUAGAUGUUCUGGGCCGCACGCGCGCUACACUGACGAAUGCAACGAGCUUAUAACCUUGGCCGAAAGGUCUGGGUAAUCUCCAAAUUUCGUCGUGAUGGGGAUAGAUUAUUGCAAUUAUUAAUCUUCAACGAGGAAUUCCUAGUAAACGCAAGUCAUCAGCUUGCAUUGAUUACGUCCCUGCCCUUUGUACACACCGCCCGUCGCACCUACCGAUUGAAUGGUCCGGUGAAAUCUCGGGACGGCGGCUUGGUCGCUUGCGUCCGACUGCUGAAACUUGAUUAAACCAUAUCAUUUAGAGGAAGGUGAAGUCGUANCA